GACUACCGGUUGCAGCAGUGGGGAAUAUUGGACAAUGGGCGAAAGCCUGAUCCAGCCAUGCCGCGUGUGUGAAGAAGGCCUUCGGGUUGUAAAGCACUUUCAGUGGGGAAGAAAGCCUUGGGGCUAAUACCCUCGAGGAAGGACAUCACCCACAGAAGAAGCACCGGCUAACUCCGUGCCAGCAGCCGCGGUAAUACGGAGGGUGCGAGCGUUAAUCGGAAUUACUGGGCGUAAAGCGCGCGUAGGCGGUCUGAUAAGCCGGUUGUGAAAGCCCCGGGCUCAACCUGGGAACGGCAUCCGGAACUGUCAGGCUAGAGUGCAGGAGAGGAAGGUAGAAUUCCCGGUGUAGCGGUGAAAUGCGUAGAGAUCGGGAGGAAUACCAGUGGCGAAGGCGGCCUUCUGGACUGACACUGACGCUGAGGUGCGAAAGCGUGGGUAGCAAACAGGAUUAGAUACCCCAGUAGUC
rnacentral:rRNA from 1 species